rnacentral:rRNA from 1 species
ACGCUCGACACCUACGGGAGACAGCAGUGGGGAAUAUUGCACAAUGGAGGAAACUCUGAUGCAGCGAUGCCGCGUGAGGGAAGAAGGUUUUCGGAUUGUAAACCUCUGUCUUUGGGGACGAUAAUGACGGUACCCAAGGAGGAAGCUCCGGCUAACUACGUGCCUGCAGCCGCGUAAUCUGAGCGGGCUGGCAAGGC